CAAGAGUGAACUAGCUAACUGAAAUCAUAGAAUUUCUUUAAAUUCAUGAUGUCGUAAGGGAAAAUAAUGAUAAUACCUUACUAUGAGUGUCGUCCAAAUCUGGUGCCAGAAGACUCGGUAAGACCAGAGACGCAAACGUUAAUCAUCUUAAACAGGCGUAAAGGGUUUGUAGGCAGCUUUCAUAUAGAAUAUAAUUACCCAAAUAAAGUAGUCUAAUUGAAAGCUAGAAUCAAAUAGAGGUUAUAGUGUAUAACGCCUAGAGGAGGGCUGAUAUCCGUAGAUCCUAGGCAGAAUACUCAGGGCGAAGGCCACUCUCCACUAAUGAUUGACGCUGAGAAACGAAGGUUAGGGUAGGAAAUAGGAUUAGAUACCCCGGUACUCCUUUCUGUAAACGAUGAAUGGUAGUCAUUAGUUUCUAAAAAUAACUAGAGGCGAAGUUAACACAAUAACCAUUCCGCCUUGUGAGUACUACUGCAAAGUAGAAAACAAAAAAAUUAGUCGGUCUCGAAGCAAACGGAGUGAAGCAUGUUAUUUAAUACGAUAAUCCGCG
rnacentral:rRNA from 1 species